CCGAGUGAGGGCGAACCGCCCGACCUCCCACCCUAUGUGAUUAUACCAUGUUGCCUCGGGGGUACGCCCGCGCCUCGCGGCGCCGGCGCCCCCGGUGGACCAUUUAACUCCGCGUCUCAUGCGUCGGUUUAAAUUGAUGAAUAUUAUCA
rnacentral:misc_RNA from 1 species